CAGCAGCCGCGGUAAUACGUAGGGUGCAAGCGUUAAUCGGAAUUACUGGGCGUAAAGCGUGCGCAGGCGGUUAUAUAAGACAGAUGUGAAAUCCCCGGGCUCAACCUGGGAACUGCAUUUGUGACUGUAUAGCUAGAGUACGGCAGAGGGGGAUGGAAUUCCGCGUGUAGCAGUGAAAUGCGUAGAUAUGCGGAGGAACACCGAUGGCGAAGGCAAUCCCCUGGGCCUGUACUGACGCUCAUGCACGAAAGCGUGGGGAGAAAACAGGAUUAGAUACCCGAGUAGUCCCUGUCUCUUAUAC
rnacentral:rRNA from 1 species